rfam:Gossypium raimondii Chr01_contig_1282, whole genome shotgun sequence.
AAUUCUAUCUAUUUGUACUGUUAAAAACGGGUGUAGUUGAUGGAAUGACAAAACAAUGAUACCUGGUGUGUCAUGUAUACCUCAUGCUGACGUAAAUAAUUGGUUUUUAACAAUACAAAUAGACAGGAAUA